rnacentral:rRNA from 1 species
CAGUAGCCGCGGGAAUACGUAGGGUGCAAGCGUUAAUCGGAAUUACUGGGCGUAAAGCGUGCGCAGGCGGUGAUGUAAGACAGUUGUGAAAUCCCCGGGCUCAACCUGGGAACUGCAUCUGUGACUGCAUCGCUGGAGUGCGGCAGAGGGGGAUGGAAUUCCGCGUGUAGCAGUGAAAUGCGUAGAUAUGCGGAGGAACACCGAUGGCGAAGGCAAUCCCCUGGGCCUGCACUGACGCUCAUGCACGAAAGCGUGGGGAGCAAACAGGAUUAGAUACCCCCGUAGUCCCUGUCUCUUAUAC